rnacentral:rRNA from 1 species
UACGUAGGGGGCGAGCGUUAUCCAGAUUUACUGGGCGUAAAGCGUGCGCAGGCGGUGAUGUAAGUCAGUUGUGAAAUCCCCGGGCUCAACCUGGGAACUGCAUCUGUGACUGCAUUGCUGGAGUGCGGCAGAGGGGGAUGGAAUUCCGCGUGUAGCAGUGAAAUGCGUAGAUAUGCGGAGGAACACCGAUGGCGAAGGCAAUCCCCUGGGCCUGCACUGACGCUCAUGCACGAAAGCGUGGGGAGCAAACAGG